UGGCCUGCGACAUGGACCUGGCCAAA
rnacentral:piRNA from 1 species